AUUGAACGCUGGCGGCAUGCUUUACACAUACAAGUCGAACGGUAACAGGGAGCUUGCUCCGCUGACGAGUGGCGAACGGGUGAGUAAUGCGUCGGAACGUGCCGAGUAGUGGGGGAUAACGCAUCGAAAGGUGUGCUAAUACCGCAUACGAACUGAGGUUGAAAGUGGGGGACCUUCGGGCCUCACGCUAUUCGAGCGGCCGACGUCUGAUUAGCUAGUUGGUGAGGUAAAGGCUCACCAAGGCGACGAUCAGUAGCGGGUCUGAGAGGAUGAUCCGCCACACUGGGACUGGGACACGGCCCAGACUCCUACGGGAGGCAGCAGUGGGGAAUUUUGGACAAUGGGCGCAAGCCUGAUCCAGCCAUGCCGCGUGACUGAAGAAGGCCUUCGGGUUGUAAAGGACUUUUGUCCGGGAGCAAAUACCCAGUGCUAAUAACGCUGGGGGCUGAGAGUACCGGAAGAAUAAGCACCGGCUAACUACGUGCCAGCCGCCGCAGUAACAC
rnacentral:rRNA from 1 species